GAUAGUAUCUAGUACUAUCUCCGUAGAAGCUCGUUCUAUCCCAGUUGUUCCAGUUUGUUUGCUCGCUACCAUUGCUACAUCACCCUGUGUUGGUGUGCUCUGAGAAUAGUGAAUUAUAAACAACAAGGUUCUGACCCGGAACAGAUGGUUCUGAGGUGAAUAUACUGGUGGGAGCGUUGUGGUCGGAGAAGCCUGUUCAAUUUAAUCUGAAUGUUUCAUUCACCGCUGAUAAAAUAUCGCGGUCAUUUUAUGAUUUAGUAUUUGACAUUUGUUACAUCUAGCUCCCUUUAUACACUUAGAAAAGUAUUUCAUGGUACAGCAACGUACCAAACAGGAGCAGUAAAGAUGAGGUAUACAGUCUCCAGGUGUGGCACUAGAUGUAUCCCAAUCUGUUUUUAUUAUACAUCCCACUUUUCACUCGCAACAAUUGGCUGUCCAGGUUUGACCGUUCUUUUUAGUCAAUCAUUUGGUAUUUUAAAACUUCAUAGUAAAAGUAUUUUAAGAAACGGUAUAAGAUCUAUUUAAUUCUUGAGCUUGCACUACCCUGUCCUGGUAUUCCGAUAUUAAAUCCUGUGUUUCCUCAACCUAGGAGUAAACAGAUGACCUCCUGUCGUACAUUGCGUCUGAGGAACCCUUUCGCCUGUUUCCAUGAUGCCCUGACUGCUUCUGUGUACAACAGAUUGCUCGGCCAAUUACCGGACAUAGUCAGCCUUGUUUACAGUUGGUAUGUUGUGUUUUGAGUGAGGUUUGAGUGUGGAUGAUUGUCAAUCGCUGCAGCAGCUUUGGUGUAUUUUUGAUGUUGCGGAAAUAGAUUCUUGCUCCGAUUGCAUCCUGGUAGGAAUUGCGAGUUUUGUCGUCGGAAAUUGGAUGUGUAGUUGGAGCACUGGAGAUGUUUGCUUUGCGUCGGUUUCGAGGUGAGGUUAUGGAUUAUUCCUCCAACAGUCACCGAUUGCUCAAACCAAGGCCCCAUCUUUUCUGAAACACUUGACAAACACAUAUUCUGUUUUUGAUUGUAAUGUCUCAUGGCAAUCAAUUAUCUACUUUUAUGACAAUCAAGUAUUAGGUGUUUUUUUUAGAAAUAAAGAACCACUGCUUCAAAGUAUGAAAAAUGGCCUAUAUGGCCUCUCAUAUUUGUAUGUUUUUAUUUGAAUUACAUUUAAAGGCCACAAGUUCAAUGCUGUUGGAUUCUUGGUCAGAUACAAAUCGUAUUUUGCAAUGUUCAAUGCUACACGGUUAGAUGGUUUCACUUGAACUGAACAAGCCCAGCUGUGAGAACACCCAUUUAGCCGUCUUUUCUCUAAAAACAUCAUUUUUUUAGUAUUCUCUAUCUGUCAUGUUAUCAGUUUGUUUUUUACUAACAUAUUAUUUUAUUCUAUUACAAGAAUACAUUUAAUUCUUUGAUGCUGGAAUACCUUUUCUUACAAAUAAAAGAGAUGAGUUGUAAAC